ACGCUGGCGGCAGGCCCUAACACAUGCAAGUCGAACGGUGAGCACARAAGAGCUUGCUCUCGGGUGACGAGUGGCGGACGGGUGAGUAAUGUCUGGGAAACUGCCUGAUGGAGGGGGAUAACUACUGGAAACGGUAGCUAAUACCGCAUAACGUCGCAAGACCAAAGAGGGGGACCUUCGGGCCUCUUGCCAUCAGAUGUGCCCAGAUGGGAUUAGCUAGUAGGUGGGGUAACGGCUCACCUAGGCGACGAUCCCUAGCUGGUCUGAGAGGAUGACCAGCCACACUGGAACUGAGACACGGUCCAGACUCCUACGGGAGGCAGCAGUGGGGAAUAUUGCACAAUGGGCGCAAGCCUGAUGCAGCCAUGCCGCGUGUAUGAAGAAGGCCUUCGGGUUGUAAAGUACUUUCAGCGGGGAGGAAGGCGAUAAGGUUAAUAACCUUGUCGAUUGACGUUACCCGCAGAAGAAGCACCGGCUAACUCCGUGCCAGCAGCCGCGGUAAUACGGAGGGUGCAAGCGUAAUCGGAAUUACUGGGCGUAAAGCGCACGCAGGCGGUCUGUCAAGUCGGAUGUGAAAUCCCCGGGCUCAACCUGGGAACUGCAUUCGAAACUGGCAGGCUGGAGUCUUGUAGAGGGGGGUAGAAUUCCAGGUGUAGCGGUGAAAUGCGUAGAGAUCUGGAGGAAUACCGGUGGCGAAGGCGGCCCCCUGGACAAAGACUGACGCUCAGGUGCGAAAGCGUGGGGAGCAAACAGGAUUAGAUACCCUGGUAGUCCACGCU
rnacentral:rRNA from 1 species